rnacentral:rRNA from 1 species
AGUCCGGGAUAGCCGAUGGAGGCGUGGAUUANUACCGGAUGUGGCUGUAUGAACUGCGGUUUUAACAGUUCAAGAUUCAUUGCUUCGGGAUGAGCUCGCGGUCCAUCAGCUUGUUGGUGAGGUAAUGGCUCACCAAGGCGACGACGGAUAGCUGGUCUGAGAGGAUGACCAGUCACACUGGGACUGAGACACUGCCCAGACUCCUGCGGGAGGCUGCAGUCGAGAAUCUUCCGCAAUGGGCGCAAGCCUGACGGAGCAAUGCUGCGUGCCGGAUGAAGGCCUUCGGGUCGUAAACGGCUGUCACUCGGGACGAAUUUUGACGGUACCGAGAGAGGAAGCCACGGCUAACUACGUGCCAGCAGCCGCGGUAAUACGUAGGUGGCGAGCGUUAUUCGGAAUUAUUGGGCCUAGAGGGUUCGUAGGGGGUAAUGUAAGUCCGGUGUGAAAUCUCGAGGCUCAACCUCGAAACUGCAUUGGAAACUGCGCUACUUGAGUGUCAGAGAGGAAAGCGGAAUUCCUGGUGUAGCGGUGGAAUGCGUAGAUAUCAGGAAGAACACCGACGGCGAAGGCAGCUUUCUGGCUGACAACUGACCCUGAUGAACGAAAGCUAGGGUAGCGAACAGGAUUAGAUACCCUGGUAGUCC